rnacentral:lncRNA from 1 species
GUCGCAUACGAGUAAUUUUUCUCUCUUUUUUUUAACACUUUAAAUUAACACCUUCAUCAGCGGCUCUAAUAAUGGCGAUAUGUAAUCGAGUGAAUGACGCAUCUAACAUCUAUACAAGCAGGGAAAUUAACGCAGAAAUUAAAGCACCUUUACUCACAACUGUGAUUUAUGUAAAUCCAUACGCUUAGAUGUAUAACGCGCGAAGAAGAGGAAUUCCCCUCGCUCGCCGAUGAUAAACAGGUGAAUUAUCGGGAAUAAGGCUAUGGGAGGCGCGACGAGAGUUCGAAUGACGCAUUAGGGACGCGACGCGAGUAUCGCAGAUCACUUUGUCACGAUUACCCUAAACUUUUUCUUCCGAUUCCAAAUCGCUUUCGCCUUCUUUUUUUUUUCUUCUCCGCGCUGCAGUUACGAUUAUCUCUCCAACUCGGCGUAUAAUUUCGCCGUAAAUAACGCGAAACUUCGGCUAAUACUCCGGCCCUUAAUAAAAACGGAUACUCGUAUCCCUCUCGCUCUCGAGUGAUAAAUAAACGCUCGCACUGAGUACACGGCGGUUCCAUCAUCGUCUCUUGCUUAGCGAAACUUGAUGAUUUCAUCCGUAAUAUAGCCGAGCCUUCGUGCCAAAAUUCAUUUCGCGGCCGAGUAAUGAAUUUAGUCGCAAGAGAGAGAGAGAGAGAGAGAGAGAGAGAGAGAGAGAGAGAGAGAGAGAGAGAGAGAGAGAGAGAGAGAGAGAGAGAAGGAAGGAAGCAACACAAACACGCCAUUAUUGGUCGGCUGACCGACAAGCGGUGCUACUACUUACAGCGAGAGCCACUUUGAGAGCGGAAAGUGCUGCGCGAUAGCGGUACACGGACACACACACGCACACAGGCCAUUGUGCGUUUAACUUCGUUUUCCAUGCGAAUUUUUCCCCCCCGUCGUGUAAACUGUCGCGAUUGAUCACUGCCGAUUCAUGCCUCUUUUCAUCCAGCGCGCGUGUGUAUUAAAUCAUCAGCGCGUAUAGUGUAUGCGCUUCGACGAAAUUCGCCUCAUUUUUUUUUUCUUCUCGAAACGAAACCACUCACGGCAACGGCUUUUAUUAGAUUCAUGCGACUUCAUCGAGUUAUACGCGCAAACUGUGUUUUCAGCGCGUUAUACAGACGGCCGGCUCGCGGAAGUAAAAACUUUGCCCCUCGCGGUUCAUUUAAAUUUCAUCAAAAUGUUAAACCAGUACCAGCCUCGUAACUUAUUCGCAAACUCAAAAAUGAUUCGCGCGAGCGCCUGGCUUUGAUUGCCGGCUCAUUAUGCGGCAAUUAUAUACUAUACUCUGCGAAACGCGGUGAAAGUCUCGGAGAGCGCGGAAGCUAAUCUGGCGUAUUGAUCCGAAGCCGCAGAGUGUAUAUACGGCAAGUUGUUCGGUCAGUCGCAGCACGUGGGGCCAUGAUUUCUGUAUGAAGAGAGAGAGAGAAAGAGAGAAAGAUUCAUAUGCGUUCGUGUCUCAAACCGUAUAAUGAUUAUUACGCAGGGAGGAAGCCGCCGCGCCCUUUGGGAACGACGCCCACGCACUUCGGGCUGAAUUUUGAGAAAAAUAGACACAGAGCCAGCUGUUGCCGCGUAUAUACAAUCCCGUUGAUUAGACUUUAUAGAGCGACGCGGUAAAGUAUUUUAGUAGUCCACGCGCGCAAAGAGACAAUAAAUAGAAUCCAAUUACACUUGCCUCUUCGUCUUUUGUUUUUCGAAGGAUGAGUCGCGAUACGCGAAAUCGAUGAAGGAGUGAAGAGACUCUUUAGUAAGUCUCGAGUGAAUUCUUUUAUCGAAAAAUAGAAACACACAGCUCUCGGUCUAUACAAACCGAAGAACUGCGACUGUAGCGCUUCAUUCGAAACUGAUAGCAGCUUUUACGCUGUAGACGCGCAAGUAUGCAUAACAAGGAGCUUAAACGCGCUUCCGUUCGGUCCGUGUGUAUUGUGUAUCGAAGAAAACGUGGGUCGUAAACACAAGCGACACAGCUUUGUCGCGGGAGCAAUGAAUAUUUUACAGCCGAUACCAUACCGCAGACGUACACUGUGAAUUCAAUUGAUCAUACACUCGCGGGUGGUUAGUAUAACUCGAUGUAUCAAAAUAUAAAAAGCUAUAUACUCGCUUUGUAUACCAGAGGCUCUAUUUGAUGGUUACAGUUCCGUUUUGUCGCCGCGAGGAGAUAACAACGUUACUUUUAUACAGCGUUUAUACUAGGAUAGGAGGUUUUUGAAGCCGUCAUUAAAUUCCCAUUAAUCAGUUGAAGCGCGAAACGUCCGCAGUCUGAUGCUAGCUGCUCCCGAGCGUAUAACGACAUCAUCGCGUACAGGACAAUCAAAAUCUUCCCUUUCGUCCCCCACGAGAGAUAUAGUCACGUGGAAUGGAAGUGGAGUCGUUCGAGUAUAGCGUCCGUCGUGUACUUACACACAUACUUGUAUACUAAGCUUGAAGGUGGUGGGAUUGAUCGUCUAAUGCAAACCUGGUUUCUUUUUUCCCUGCGCAUACUCUCGCUUUCGUGCUUGAAAUUUAUUGUGGUCUCGUCCCCGCGCGCAUCAGCUGUGGUGUAGCGUGUCUGGUUAUAAUAUGAGCGCGCGCAAGAAAAUGCAAGAGUGGAAGCCCUGCUCCCGUAUAUAAAUAUAGCGCUUCGGAAGUUCGAGCAAUAUAACCUGUGUGCGCAUCAAGCUUUAUUCAGCGGGAUUCGAUCAAAUUUCGUGUACAACGUGUGUGUUGCUUAUUGGACCUCAUUCGGAAUGUGUGAAGAAGCAUUGAAACGUUUUCAUCGGAGAUUAUAAAUUCGACGAUUUUUCACGUUUACUGAAAACCGCCGAUUUUUCCAGUCACCGAAACAAUACCAUUACAGCGGCGGUAACCUCGACCAUAUUGGCGGUGGCAAUCUUCUCAGAAAAAAAGUUGUAAAAAUUCCGAAUGAGUAUUUUACUGAAACUACAACAACGUCUGUUCCUGUUGAAACAACUACUUCGGACCUUAAAGCUGAUAGGCGUCUAAUCGGUAAAAGAGAAGCGAAAGCCACCGAUUUUAGCAGCCUCAGAGCUAAACGCGACUUUCCGGACAAUCCUUUUCCUAUAUAUAAUACAGCUGUUUCCCGACGUCAUGAUUUUCCCAACGAGCAAGCCUAAUCCUGAAACAACGACAACCACGACUACCACGACGACGGCUGCUCCAAAAGAGCAUAAGCAUAAUUAUGAUUCAAGAGGUACCCUCGAUUCGAUCGGAGGUGGUAAAAUUAUCAGGAGGAGAGAGGCGACUUCUGGCAACCUCAACAUUAAGCGUGACGCUAUAUAGCCGAUACCAUUGGAGAAAGAGGUGGAAUCAUCAGAAAUAAACGCAAGUUUGUGAGUUACGAAGAAUAUCUCGACCCGAAUUUCACAACGACGACGACUACACCUAAACCCGAUCGGAGGCGGCAGCCUUAUCGGAUGAGAUGUCUAUUUUAUUUUUAAAUCAUUUGCAACUAAUUUAAUUUGAAACUCGAAUAAAUACCUCUUUUGUACAAAAAAACCU